GACGAACGCUGGCGGCGUGCCUAAUACAUGCAAGUCGAGCGAAGUUUUUUGGUGCUUGCACUAGAAAAACUUAGCGGCGAACGGGUGAGUAACACGUAAAGAACCUGCCUCAUAGACUGGGACAACUAUUGGAAACGAUAGCUAAUACCGGAUAACAGCAUUAACUGCAUGGUUGAUGUUUGAAAGUUGGUUAUGCUAACACUAUGAGAUGGCUUUGCGGUGCAUUAGCUAGUUGGUGGGGUAAAGGCCCACCAAGGCGACGAUGCAUAGCCGACCUGAGAGGGUGAUCGGCCACACUGGGACUGAGACACGGCCCAGACUCCUACGGGAGGCAGCAGUAGGGAAUCUUCCGCAAUGGGCGAAAGCCUGACGGAGCAACGCCGCGUGAGUGAAGAAGGAUUUCGGUUCGUAAAGCUCUGUUGUUAGGGAAGAAUGGAUAUGUAGUAACCAUACAUGUACGAGACGGACCUACCAGAAGCCCGG
rnacentral:rRNA from 1 species